GGGGAUGUAGCUCAUUGGUAGAGCACUUGCCUAGCAUGCAUGAGAUCCUAGGUUUCAAUUUCCAGUACCACCA
rnacentral:tRNA from 1 species